rnacentral:sRNA from 1 species
CCCAUGAAUGUGACCUCUAUCACUUCAAAGUUGCGUGCGCAGACAGUAUCAUCGGUAGAGUUAAACCCUCGCUGCCAGACGGCGAGGGUUUUCUUUUGG